GACGAAGCUUCCCAUCACGGUUUGUAACAUGAGAUCUUGAAAGCAGGCAGUCAAAGGCUGGUCGAUUAGGCCUUCAAACUGCAAUUUUCAAAUCUCAAAUUGGAGAUUGGAAAUCAGAUAAAUAUAACUUUUAUGGUCGUAUUUUGGGGCAAAAAGAAAAAAAAUGAUAGAUUUAAAGAGACAAAGAGAUGAAUAAUUAUGGUAGUCAUUGAACAAUAGCAAUUACGAGUAUUCUUCUGUAUGGUUUGUGUGUGUUUCGAACCUGGGUUUUGGAUUCCUUAUGGUUGUGUGGGUGAGAGAUAAUCCAACUAAAAAAAAUUAAAAAAGAGAGAAGAGGAAAUUAUUAGGUUUGUCUGGGUGACGAAGGGUAAAAUCGUCAAUAUCAAGAGAUAGAAGUACUUAAUUCUAUAAGCACAUGCAUUUUGUGCCUGUAUCGACAACGACAUAGAAUUUUAAGUGCUUUAUUCGUAAUUGAUCCCAUUUUUUUAGUGUUUAUGUAGAUGAGUAUUUUUACUUUUGGUGAUUUGCAAGAAUAGCCAUAUUUAAUAAAUGAAUUAAGAAUAUAGCAGCAUAAUUGUAACAAUUAAUAAACUAGCAUGAGAGACAAUGGAAAAGACAAUUUUAGUGUUUAGCUGUAUAAAAAAUAUAAAUG